rnacentral:misc_RNA from 1 species
AAGUCGUAACAAGGUAACCGUAGGUGAACCUGCGGUUGGAUCAUUAAGAGAAUUCGGAAAGCCAAGCUAGAGAAAGUACCCUGAAUUGGUGGAAAUUUCUGUGCUUGUGCAGUCCACCCACCUGUCUGCUAUAUUCUGUCUGACAUUUGACAUAUUCGAUCUGAAUAUACAAUAACAACUUUUGGCAACGGAUCUCUUGGCUCUC